GGGUCGGUAGAUUGGGGUUAUUGAGUUAAUGGAUUGAUAGAGCCAUGUUGAUGGAUUUUGGGUUAUUGGAUUGCCGGGUAGGGUUAUUGGAUUGUGGUUUAAUGGGUUGUGGGUUAACGGGUUGCUUGUUGCGGAUUAUGGGUUAGUGGGUUUGGUUAUUGGGUUUUAGGUUAAUGAGUUAAUGGAAUUAGGGUUAAUGGUUGGGUUUAGGGUUUGCGUUGGGGUAGGGUUAGGGUUUAGGAUUAAGGUCAGGGAUUGUGUUAGGAUUGGGGUUAGGGUUAGA
rnacentral:lncRNA from 1 species